rnacentral:sRNA from 1 species
GUUUAAACAUGUAUUUUUCUAUCACCAUUGAUUGUAUCAACAGAAUACAAAAACAUGUGAUACGUUUAUUUGAUUAUUGAAUUAUGUUUAUGUACAGAUGAAGUGAAUGAUAAUGAAGUUGACUGUUAUGAAACCAAGUGUGAACAUGCUAUGUAUCCUUUUUUUUUCUUUUAGUCUUCAUUGAUAUUUAUUGCUUUUCAUCCCUGGUUAGUAAUGCAAUACCAAAUGUGUUCAUACGAUUAUUAUAUUACACUACCCAUUGUAAAUAUUUUGUACCAUGUGUUUUUGUAUAGACUUGGAAAUGUAAUAUUAUUGAAAUGUUUUAAUUCAUUAUUACCUUGCUUUCUGAUAUCAGCUGCCAUAGGUACAAGUACAUUAUGGUGCAACUGUUGUAAGGAAAGAAUUUCUUUUUAGAUUAAACAGAUUAUAUAUUACUGAAAUACAAAUGAAAGGGCAAAAGUAAAUUAUUACA